GAUGAACGCUGGCGGCGUGCCUAAUACAUGCAAGUCGAGCGAACAGACGAGGAGCUUGCUCCUCUGACGUUAGCGGCGGACGGGUGAGUAACACGUGGAUAACCUACCUAUAAGACUGGGAUAACUUCGGGAAACCGGAGCUAAUACCGGAUAAUAUAUUGAACCGCAUGGUUCAAUAGUGAAAGACGGUUUUGCUGUCACUUAUAGAUGGAUCCGCGCCGCAUUAGCUAGUUGGUAAGGUAACGGCUUACCAAGGCGACGAUGCGUAGCCGACCUGAGAGGGGGAUCGGCCACACUGGAACUGAGACACGGUCCAGACUCCUACGGGAGGCAGCAGGAGGGAAGCUGCCGCAAGGGGCGAAAGCCGGACGGAGCAACGCCGCGGGAGUGAUGAAGGUCUUCGGAUCGUAAAACUCUGUUAUUAGGGAAGAACAAAUGUGUAAGUAACGAUGCACGUCUUGACGGUACCGAAGCAGAAAGCCACGGCUAACUACGU
rnacentral:rRNA from 1 species